rnacentral:rRNA from 1 species
AUGGAAAACACAACAGAGAAAGGAGAAAAAAAUCAAGCAAAAAAUAUGGGAAAAAACAGCAAUUAUGUCUGCAAAAACUUGCUGAUCAGGCAAGAAUUUGGAGAAAAUGUGGGCAAAGAAAUUGCCAAAGGUGGGCAAAAACUCCCAGGGCAGACGACAGCAAAGAUGUCCGGCCUUGACCUCAAUGAGCUCCCCGAUGACUUUGAUGACCGUGAUGGUGGUCCCUGUACUGCACACAAGCCCGACCUGAGAAGGUCCCUAUUUCUGCUCUUGUCCAGGGGGUGGGUGAGUCGCCGGAUUUGUGUUCUGCUCUUGUCCAAGAUGUAG